UGACAUAAUGUUUUGGCACUUUCUACGUUGACACUUAGGUUUGUUUUCGAUUUCAUUUCGAUAUAUUGAACAACCAUACAUAUAUAUUUUUGGACUAGGAACCUGCUUUCUUGUUAGCCUCCCAGAUUACAGAAAUAUUAUAUAAUUUAUUAGAAAUUAUUACAUGCCAUGAAAAAAUCUCUUGCACUUUAUAUAAUUUAUAAAAUGAUGUUUAAAAACUAAACUAAGCUCUUUUUUAUCAAUAAAUAAUGUGGACAAUAAUAAUCUGCUAACUUAUAAGCGAAUAAUGUAUGUAUAUUUUAUUAUUUUAUGUAAAUAAAAACUCACAGCAAUGACUAGUAUGAUGAAUGAGACAAUUUGAAACUAACUAUAUUAAUAUACAGGCUGUUUUUAUUUCAAUUUUGGCUUUCAAGCACCAAAAUCUCGUGUUAGCUUAGUUUAAAAAAACAACAGCCUGUGUACAUACGACAUAUUUUGAAAUCUAAAUCCGAGUUCCCAAUAAGCAACAUUUGGGGCAACACGAAAGGAGACAAAAGUUCCGUACUGCCUUUCAAUAUGUUGGGCAAUUUGUUGGGCAACAUGUUGCGCGACUAUUGUUGCUUAGUGGAAACGCGGCUUUAAGUUAUGCAUCGGCAAAUAAACAACUAUAGCUAAUGCCUACAAAUAUUUAGAAUGCUUUUUGUCGGUCACAUUAUUUUUAAUAGCAAUUUAGGAUCACAUCCAUUUCUUUACAGCAUUUUAACGAAGCUACGGUGACAUAACUGAUUCAUCAAUCAAACAAUAUUUUAUUUAUAACUGUCAAUUUACUUAAGGUGAAUCUUGAACUUGUAUAUUAUUAUCGCGGCCAAUAAGAUCACGCACGCCUCAUAUCGAAUGUAAACGUAACUACUAACUAAGAUAAAAUAUCAAAAAAACAUUUUAUUUUGAAUUUUCCGCUACAAGUUCACCUUAAAUAACUUAAGAUAUUAUGUCACCCUAACAAUUAUUAUAAAAUAACGGAUACAUUAAAAGUUAUCUUUCCAUAUUAUCCUUCUCACGUUCCCAGUUAGUAAGAGAUGACAAUACUUCUGUGACCGACUUACUUCGAAUCACAAUACCCAAACCAUCCAUUGUUUCCGAUUAAUUAUUGAAAUAGGACAUAAAUUAUAUGAAGCUCAUGUCAAAUUACAAUCUGUAAUCAGAAACAACGGAAUGGAUCGAUUAUUGCAAUCCACACUUAACUA